rnacentral:rRNA from 1 species
UACGGAGGGUGCGAGCGUUGUCCGGAAUCACUGGGCGUAAAGGGCGCGUAGGUGGCGCGGGCAGUCAACGGUGAAAGUUCGGGGCUCAACCCUGAAUCGGCCGUCGAUACUCCCGGGCUUGAGCACUGUAGAGGCUAAUGGAAUUCCGGGUGUAGCGGUGGAAUGCGUAGAGAUCCGGAAGAACACCGGUGGCGAAGGCGGUCUGCUGGGCAGUUGCUGACACUGAGGCGCGACAGCGUGGGGAGCAAACAGG